rnacentral:rRNA from 1 species
AUUGAACGCUAGCGGGAUGCUUUACACAUGCAAGUCGAACGGCAGCGCGGACUUCGGUCUGGCGGCGAGUGGCGAACGGGUGAGUAAUGUAUCGGAACGUGCCCAGUAGCGGGGGAUAACUACGCGAAAGCGUAGCUAAUACCGCAUACGCCCUACGGGGGAAAGCAGGGGAUCGUAAGACCUUGCACUAUUGGAGCGGCCGAUAUCGGAUUAGCUAGUUGGUGAGGUAACGGCUCACCAAGGCGACGAUCCGUAGCUGGUUUGAGAGGACGACCAGCCACACUGGGACUGAGACACGGCCCUGACUCCUACGGGAGGCAGCAGUGGGGAAUUUUGGACAAUGGGGGCAACCCUGAUCCAGCCAUCCCGCGUGUGCGAUGAAGGCCUUCGGGUUGUAAAGCACUUUUGGCAGGAAAGAAACGUCGCGGGCUAAUACCCCGUGGAACUGACGGUACCUGCAGAAUAAGCACCGGCUAACUACGUG